GCUCACACCGGUGGGUCCGGAUUCUCUUUGAGUUCUCUGUGAGGAGUUUGAGAUAUUUCCAAAAACCCCGCCGAGGUCUUUAGAUCCUUGGGAACGGCAGGAUCUUCUGCUGCGCACCCUGUGGGGAUUGCAGGAGGAGACGCUGGCGUCUCACGAGACAGACUGUCGAGAGACUUGACUCCUCCACCACAUUGAAACCAAUUUGUGCUUCAGACGACACCUCUCCUCACUCGUUCCAGUCUGCUGUCGUUUCUCCCGCUGUUCUCCGUCUGCUUUUCCUGUGAAGACCCAUUAAAGCUGACUUCGGGACGUGCUGUGAUUUGUUGAGGCGCUGUUAUGGAAUAUGAGAUGGGAUGGCACUAAAAUGAAAUUGAGGUAAAUUUGGAAAUAUCAGAUGUAAUCCAUCUGCGGCGGCGAGGCUGUGUCAGAUACGAAGGUGGCUGUGAUUGAGUGUAGGAUCACGACCGGAGACGAUUGCGUCAAACCACGGGAUGAUGUGCUGAGGAAACCCUGUCAUUAUUCCAUCAUCAGUGGAGGACUCGUUUACGUUCCUCAUCUCAAACAUACAAUUAAGACGAUUGUUAGCCACGCCCAC